rnacentral:misc_RNA from 1 species
UUUCCGUAGGUGAACCUGCGGAAGGAUCAUUAAACGGUGAAUAUGGCAUCCAUUACCAAGGAAUGAACAUAUAAACCCACCUGUGUAUAAACUCCCGUUGCUUCCGUGGGGCGGUGACCGCCGCCGAAGGACAGCUUCGGCCGUCCGGAGGAGAGUCCCCGCGGGAGGUAUAACAUAAACUACUUGCAUCUUCAUGCUCUUAGUCUGUACAUAACCCAUAAACGUUAAAACUUUCAACAACGGAUCUCUUGGUUCUC